GUGCUUGCUUUGGGAGCACAUCUACCAAAAUUGGAAUGAUACAGAGAAGAUUAGCAUGGCCCCUGUGCAAGGAUGACACGCAAAUUCGUGAAGCGUUUCGUAUUUAA